rnacentral:misc_RNA from 1 species
AGUUCUCAACCAUAUUGAUAUUUUUUGAUGUGGCUUUGGAUGUGGAGGUUUUUGCAGGCUUUGAAAUUUUAAGUCAGCUCCUCUGAAAUGAAUUAGUGGUAUCUGAGCAGUAGAAUUACUAUAGGUGUGAUAAAUUUGUCUAUGCCUUGGUAUGCUGCAUGAACAGAUUGCACUGCUUCUAACAAGUGGAAACACAUUUCGAUGA